rnacentral:lncRNA from 1 species
GAAUUCAGUUUCUUUCUCAGGUUUGUUCCUUCCGUUUUUGCACCUGUUUUGUUGGAAGCGUUCAGCAGGAUCCGUUUCUCCGGUCCAGGGUGCUCGGGAGGGUGUUCAGGGAGCGCUGAGCGGAGUCGUUCGUCGCAAAGUUUUCGCCUAAACUUCCGGGGUUUUGAGGCGUAAAAACUCAACUGCUCGACGGAGGAGGCGAAGGGUCGCGGCCUCGUUGCUCUCACCCCGACGAGAAUCCUUUCGCCAAGAAAGAAUCGAAGAGAAUCUCAGAUGGUUGGGCGCGUCGAAAAGCGUUCGCAGAUUUUUGAUUGGCUGUGUCUGAAGCUGCGCGGGGUCACCGGGUGUCUGUGAGGCCGUAGCUAGACAGGGGAUAAAGGCGCUUCCUUGAACGUCGCGCUUGAGUUUAUUGUCCCUGACGAAGGUGGUUUAAAGACACAUGCAUCGGCUGCUGGAAACGCUUUGCAGGACGCGACAGGCAACGGUAGAACCACUGGGCCACGGAGAGAGACGUCCUUAUGCCCAAUCGUGUGUUUUCCAGUGGGAAGCUCUCGGCGCAGUAUCACUCGGCACCAGUCUCCAUCGAGUAGCCCAGCGGACGUUCUAGAAUCUCACGGUGGUCAGACGAUACACAACCCACGCUGGGUCUCUGAAGAGCAUUGGGAGCAAGAGUGAGCGAUGCUGUUCAUAUUUGCAAGUAGUCAAACGGGUUCCGGAAGCAAAACGCGUCUAACGCUGUUUGGUAGUGGAGAGGGUCGGUCUUUGCAGAAGCUUCGGGCGUGCGAGUGGCGAUGAAUCUCGCAACUCUGCAAGACCAGAGAGAGUUACCGAGGCCAGAAAUGCGACCACGUCGCUCGGAAACUCCACACGUUGAAACGGCGCCCGGGGUGAGGCAUUUGUGCGUCGCAGUGACUGACACAGGGGCGGGGCAGAAAACCUGGGCCAAGCGUGGAGACUUCUCUCGCUGUGAGGGCUGCAGGUAGGACAUCCCGUCCAGAAUGCCGAAAACGGCAGUGAAAACCCCCGAGGGACAAUACCGGUUUGCUCCCGCCGCGGGGCGCUGCUGUGAUCUGCGAAUUCAAAGUUCAAAAGCAACAACAGGUUGCUUUCCUUUUUGCGUGGGUGUUCAGUCUCUUUGUAUCGCUGUUCGGGAUAACAAACCGGCUGACAAGCAACCAGGAGUCCUUCAGUGAAUAGGGGCGGCGCCUGUUUUUCCUGAGGGCGUCAGUGGAGGAUUGCGGCUGCCUGAUGCACACCUACACACAAGCGAAAAGGCUGGUUGGUUCCGAAGACUGCCGAGGCCUGUGUGUGCGGAAUCAGGUAGGCUCUCGCAGGGGAAAUCCCCCUCGGAGAGGCGCGGUGGUGGCCUCGAGACACGGGCGCUGUCACAGAGGGGGAAAUGUGUGUGUACUGGAGAAGAUGUGCAAAAAGCACAUCUUCCGCAGCGCCACGGAAAGCGGCGAUGAACAGGAUCGUUGCCAAGAUACAUCGCUUUCGGGGGUGCGUUGUGUCGAGCAAGUCACCUCCAGGAGGCACACACGUGGCAACCCUGCUCAAAAGUAUUCCACCUGACAGUGUGAACGAUCGUCCUACUGAAUUUUGUUCUGUAGCAAGGGGCCUGUGCCUCCCCAGUCAGAACGGCGAAAGAUCCAAUAGCGGUUCUCUCUCGUCAAGUCAGACAGAACUCUUCCGGGGGACACAGCCGCGGGGUGACAGCGACACAUGUUUCGAACGGUUCUGUCGGAAUUGGACUCUAUCUCCAAGCCUACGUGAAGCGUCUUGCGGGAUGAGUAUCGCGAAAGCGUCUUCCUAGGUCGAUUCUGACACGGAGAUACGAAGCCAAGGAAGCAAAAAUGCGAUUCGAUACCACAGGAGUCGUAACCGUAAACAAUGAACACGGGUUUUCACACGAAGAUGCUCUCUGCAGGUCUUCCCGCUGGAAGAGAGAGAUGCCGGAUUGACGACGGGUCACGGGUCAGACUUCACUUGUUCUUCAAGCACCGCUCGCUCUGGAUCCGUGUGGCGACACUUCACUCAUAAUGGCGAGGAAACGUUCGAUUGCGUGCUAGUAACGGCCUUCGGAAGUGGUCUGUCACCGUGGGGGUAUACGUCGUAAUGAAGGAAGGAGCAAAUGUGGCUCUGGUGCAAUUUUUCUUCAACGGAGGGUACACCUUGGCGGAGCGGAAGUUGGCGAUUUUGCAGAGGCGUGCUAUGCCUAUGAGUAUUCUCCGCGUGAACGGAAUAUGUGCGCUCUGCGGUCUUCCGCAUGUGUGCAAAACAGAGUCGGGCGAGCUCUGUAUGCACGUCAUUCUACCGGGACAUUUCAAGGACCAAAGCUCCAGAUUGCGUGCUGGAGACACUGUGUGUCAACACCGGAAAUCCUUAUGCAAGAGCGAUGGCCUGGGGUGUAGGUGUUCCUCUAAAGGCGACUCAUGUUUUGGGGCGCUGGGAACUUCGCACUCAGCCCAACAAAACAGAAACGCGUCGUGUUCACUGGAAACGAAACAGACGCACUCGGUAGACAGGGCUCCGUCGCGACGGACUCCUCCAGGAAAAUCUGUCGAUAUAUGCGGUUUAUCACCAUGGAGUACCAGAUAUACAGUCGAUCUAUUCGUGCACAGUGUCGCCUUGUUCCGGAGGCGGGGCGACUUAUAUGCCUGGUGCGAUGCUGAAGAAAAAGCCGGUGUCGUGUAUUAGUGAGAUCGGACAAGUGACGCGCUCUCCGUCGUUGACAAAGGGAUGCUUGCUGAACGUUUCCUCAUCACAAAGCAGCAGAAGAAAAGUGUGCAUUGCUUCCGCAGUUGACUAGGUGCACGUGUCCGGUGCUAGACCUUUGUACCCACUUUUUGUUGCCCAGUGUGACGCACUCAGGCUGUCCCUCAAGACGACGACAGGAAAGGAGGUUCUUGCACUGACAACCGUACGUGUUCUUCAGUGCUUCCGUGAUUCCGCAGACGAGAUGGGGCUCGCCGUCGACUGUUACUCGUGUGGAAGGAAUUUUAGGACGUUAGUCGUCAGCGACUUUCUGUCCCGUUUAGAACAACACGUAGCUUGUCCACACGUGUCGAGGUUAAACAUACCACUCGAAUGCUGCGUCGGCUGCCGAUAAAAAACGUGAGUUUCGUGUGACGCGCUUUCUGCCUUCUACCGCGUCGAC